GAGUUUGAUCAUGGCUCAGGACGAACGCUGGCGGCGUGCGUAACACAUGCAAGUUGGACGACGGUGCCAUGAAGUGGUAACACGGAAUGGCAUGCGGAGUAGCGGACGGGUGAGUACAACAUGAGAAGCUGUCCAAUAGUGGGGGAUAACGUUCGGAAACGGACCCUAAUACCCCAUAGGCCUUUUGGUUAAAGCAGCGAUGCGCUAUUGGAGGUGCUCGUGUCCUAUCAGCUGGUUGGUGAGGUAACGGCUCACCAAGGCGACGACGGGUAGCCGGCCUGAGAGGAUGUCCGGCCACACUGGAACUGAGAUACGGUCCAGACUCCUACGGGAGGCAGCAGUGGGGAAUAUUGGGCAAUGGGAGAAAUCCUGACCCAGCGACGCCGCGUGAACGAAGAAGGCCUUCGGGUCGUAAAGUUCUUUUAUGUGGGAAGAAGGAAGUGACGUACCACAUGAAUAAGCCCCGCA
rnacentral:rRNA from 1 species